rnacentral:rRNA from 1 species
AACGAACGCUGGCGGCAGGCUUAACACAUGCAAGUCGAACGGUUGUAGCAAUACAGCAGUGGCAGACGGGUGAGUAACACGUGGGAACCUUCCUAGGGGUACGGAACAACUCAGGGAAACUUGAGCUAAUACCGUAUACGUCCGUGAGGAGAAAGAUUUAUCGCCCUUAGACGGGCCCGCGUCGGAUUAGCUAGUUGGUGGGGUAACGGCCUACCAAGGCGACGAUCCGUAGCUGAUCUUAGAGGAUGAUCAGCCACACUGGGACUGAGACACGGCCCAGACUCCUACGGGAGGCAGCAGUGGGGAAUCUUGGACAAUGGGCGCAAGCCUGAUCCAGCCAUGCCGCGUGGGUGAAGAAGGUCUUCGGAUUGUAAAGCUCUUUUACCAGGGACGAUAAUGACGGUACCUGGAGAAUAAGCCCCGGCAAACUUCGUGCCAGCCGCCGCAGUAACAC